rnacentral:rRNA from 1 species
AUUGAACGCUGGCGGCAGGCCUAACACAUGCAAGUCGAGCGGAUGAGAAGAGCUUGCUCUUCGAUUCAGCGGCGGACGGGUGAGUAAUGCCUAGGAAUCUGCCUGGUAGUGGGGGACAACGUUUCGAAAGGAACGCUAAUACCGCAUACGUCCUACGGGAGAAAGCAGGGGACCUUCGGGCCUUGCGCUAUCAGAUGAGCCUAGGUCGGAUUAGCUAGUUGGUGAGGUAAUGGCUCACCAAGGCGACGAUCCGUAACUGGUCUGAGAGGAUGAUCAGUCACACUGGAACUGCGACACGGCCCAGACUCCUACGGGAGGCAGCAGUGGGGAAUAUUGGACAACGGGCGAAAGCCUGAUCCAGCCAUGCCGCGUGUGUGAAGAAGGUCUUCGGAUUGUAAAGCACUUUAAGUUGGGAGGAAGGGCAGUAAGUUAAUACCUUGCUGUUUUGACGUUACCGACAGAAUAAGCACCGGCUAACUCUGUGCCAGCAGCCGCCGUAACAC